rnacentral:lncRNA from 10 species
AUGGAAUGCAAGUUUGUCUGCAAAAUCCUAGGCUGCCUUAUUAAUGUGUGCAGUUCAUAAGUUUACUCAAAAGUUGGGGUGACUUUUCAAUAGGAGAGGAAUCACUAAUGAGGCCAUUUCCUUCACCACGGGUGUAGACCAAGAGUGUCAGGACAUGUGACGUUUGUCUGCCUUUGGUUAACAGAUCUGGAUUUUGUCUGGAAACUCAAGUAUAAGACCUAGCACCACUUGCCAAGGACCUCUGCUUUGCUUUGGUAGGCCAAGGGUCUGGCUCUGUUACCCAGGCUGGAUUGCAGUGGUGCAAUCUCGGCUCCUGUAACCUUCACCUCCUGUAACCUUCACCUCCUGGGCUCAACCCAUCCUCUGGCCUCAGCCUCCUGAGGAACUGGGACUUACAGGUGUGCCACCACACACAGCAAUUUUUUUUUUUUUUGUAUUUUUGGUAGAGAUGGGGUUUCAUCAUGUUGGUCAGGCUGGUCUCUAACUCCUGGGCUCAAGUGAUCUGCCCAUCUCAGCCUCCCAAAGUGCUGGGAUUAUAGGCGUGAGCCACCGCACCAAGCCCUACUUUGUAUUUUGAAUAGAAGCAACAGCAGUGAUGGGAUUCGUACUCCAAACCUCAGCGUCACACAACAUUCCCAUGCAGCAAAUCUGC